AUCAAAUGGAGUUACUUUUAAAUCAUGAAAUACUUGAAUAGCAAUAUCUAUUAAAUGAGCAAAUUGAUAUAUCUUUUACAAUUGCUAUAUUGAGGGGGAGUAAAAUAAUAAGCAAUAAAGAAACAAGCAAUCAAAGAAGGAAGCUAAAGAAAUUGAUUCCAUCAAAAGGAAGGAAUAAAGAAAAAGGGGGAGUAGAGAAUUUUAGUUGAUGUUGUCAAAAAGGGGGA
rnacentral:lncRNA from 1 species